GGGGUCGACUUGGUAUCGAUUGGAGCAGUAAGAUUUAGUUGCAUGUGGGCUUUAAUCACCCUUAUAAGAUUUACAUUUUUUAAACGCAAAUAAUACAAAUUAUUCUCCUGCGGUAGCUCACGCUGCUUAGAUAAAGGACUCCCCUUAAUUGGGUAGAGACCUUGGAGGUUUUCACUACGAGAUGCUAUCUAUUGUAGAACAUUGAAGACUCACCCCCUAGAUAGCUUAUCUUUUUGGAAUUGAUUUGAACAAUUAGAGACAUUUAAAAUCUUAGUUUUGAAAUAGCCUUGGAAGUUUGAGCUAUGAUAAAUGAAAUUUGAUCAACUUUAUCUAAACAUGUAGACGCUAAAUUGAGUUGUUUUAAGACUGGAGUUCAAUUCUCCACGACUCCACCA
rnacentral:tmRNA from 1 species